UACGUAGGGUGCAAGCGUUGUCCGGAAUUAUUGGGCGUAAAGAGCUCGUAGGCGGUCUGUCGCGUCUGCUGUGAAAACUCGGGGCUUAACCCCGGGCCUGCAGUGGGUACGGGCAGACUAGAGUGCGGUAGGGGAGACUGGAAUUCCUGGUGUAGCGGUGAAAUGCGUUGAGAUCCACAGGAACUCCGGUGGCGAAGGCGGCCUGCUGGACCCCACCUGACGCUGAGGCGCGAAAGCCAGGGGAGCGAACGGG
rnacentral:rRNA from 1 species